rnacentral:rRNA from 1 species
AACGAACGCUGGCGGCGCGCCUAAUACAUGCAAGUCGAGCGAGAAGACGUAGCAAUACGUUUGUAAAGCGGCGAACGGGUGAGGAAUACAUGGGUAACCUACCCUCGAGUGGGGAAUAACUAGCCGAAAGGUUAGCUAAUACCGCGUACGCUCCUUGGACUUCGGUUCAGGGAGGAAAGCGAUACCGUGGGUAUCGCGCUCUUGGAUGGGCUCAUGUCCUAUCAGCUUGUUGGUGAGGUAACGGCUCACCAAGGCUUCGACGGGUAGCUGGUCUGAGAGGACGAUCAGCCACACUGGCACUGCGACACGGGCCAGACUCCUACGGGAGGCAGC